GAUGAACGCUGGCGGCGCGCUUAAGACAUGCAAGUCGAACGAAGAGGUACAGUUAGUUUACUGACAGUAUUUUCUUAGUGGUGGACGGGUGAGUAACACGCGAGCAACCUGCCUUCAAGAGGGGGAUAACAGAGAGAAAUUUCUGCUAAUACCGCAUAAGACCACAACACCGCAUGGUGAAGGGGUCAAAGGAGCAAUCCGCUUGAAGAUGGGCUCGCGGCUGAUUAGCUAGUUGGUGAGGUAAUGGCCCACCAAGGCGACGAUCAGUAGCCGAACUGAGAGGUUGAUCGGCCACAUUGGGACUGAGACACGGCCCAGACUCCUACGGGAGGCAGCAGUCGGGAAUAUUGCACAAUGGGGGAAACCCUGAUGCAGCGACGCCGCGUAAAGGAAGAAGGUCUUCGGAUUGUAAACUUUGUCGACAGGGAANAAAAAUGACAGUACCUGU
rnacentral:rRNA from 1 species